GCCCGAGUGGUGAAAUAGGUAGACACAUCAGACUUAAAAUCUGAAGGCCGCAAGGCCGUGCCGGUUCGAGUCCGGCCUCGGGCACCA
rnacentral:tRNA from 1 species